UUCUGCUCACGCAGCGGAAGGAGUGUGAUGGGGCACAAGGCACUCGAAGCCUUUCUAAUUUUUCAUCUGAACACAGCUUUCCCCGGAGCUGGGACCAGGCCGAGGUAAUGGACAUUAACACCGGGGCUGAACUUAAAGACUACAAACCCUGGGGAAACAGGAAAUGCCACCGAAGCUGAGGAGAAGCAGGAGGGAGUGAACUGAAGCAUAGCAAGGCUAUAAACUCUGAAAGCCUGACUCCAGCGCAGUACUUUCUCCAGCAAGGCUCCAAACAGUGCUACCAACCGGGACCAAGCAUCCACAUACCUGAGCCUCGGAAGCCUUUAUCAUUCAGACUGCUACCAUGGCCCAGGUGUCCCUCCCAGACGCACCUGAGCUAAGGCCUCCUCAUCUACCUGUGUGCUCCCUGGAUAAGUGCCUGUUCCAGAAGCUUUGCCUCAGCAGACAGGAGGAUACAGGCCAUUUAUGAUCUGCGGAGGCCUUGGAGAUGUGGGAGCGAGAUCUAGACUCUGGUCUGGAAAGAUUUUGUGCUUGCAUCCGAGUUGAACCUUCCUGUCCCCAUUGCUACUCUGCACACAUCAGUCAGUCAGCGCUAUCAGACUUCUGCUUUUGUAAAAUGGAUGUUUUCCCGGUUUAUGAAGUG